CUCCCGCCCCCACACUCCGCCCAGAGGGGCCUCAGCUUUUCCACCACUGCUUUCUAGUCCUUUAACUCCUAGAGGCAAACUUUUGGGGGAUAAGAAAGCCUGGGAGGGGCCUGUGCCAAAACCCUCUCUGCCUGGGGACUGGGCGGUGAUUCCGCUUCUGCCUGGGCUCCUGCCAUGGCCCCCGAGAGGGGCUGACACUUUAGCUCCCGGUGCAGGUGAGAACCCGCCCGGAGGAAGAAGGAAGGCGCGGGCCGGGGAUUAGGAGACGGAGGCGGACUCGGAGCCAGGGAACCAGGGGUCCGGGCUAGAGCUGGAGUCGUGAGCGCGCGCCCGCCCCGCUCUGGGAGGACCGCGAGUAUUUUUUAUCAGCAGUUGAUUGAAUCUGCUGAUGCGGAACCCACAGAUACCAAGGACUGUAAUUCAAAUCAUAAAAUGCACCCUAGGCAAAGCCCACCUGGGCCUCUUCCUCGUGUGCGUGGUGGGCUCUAGGCAGGAUCUGCUUUGCUUAAUGGACAGAGUCAGCCCUGUCUUCAGAACAGGAGCCUGGGAAUUUCCAUUUUUGACAAGCUGGAGUUUUCUUUUUCUUUUUAUUGAGACAGGGUUUCACUCCUGUUGCCCAGGCUGGAGUGCAGUGGCCAAUACAGUGACACGAUCUCGGCUCCCUGCAACCUCCGCCUCCGGGGUUCAAGCGAUUCUCCUACUUUAGCUGGGAUUACAGGCAUGCGCCACCAUGCCCCGCUAAUUUUUGCAUUUUUUAUAGAGAUGGGGUUUCACCAUGUUGCUCAGGCUGGUCUCGAACUCCUGGCCUCAAGCGAUCCGCCCGCCUCGGCCUCCCAAGGUGCUGGGAUUACAGGAGUGAGCCACCGCACCCGGGCCAACAAGCUGGAGUUUUCUAUCAGUCAAGUCUGGGAAGCACUCUGAAGGGUUUGUGAAAUAUUUGUUACUUGACCUCUAGGAAGGCUCAAGUAUUCGCUCUCAGGAGGAUCGGCAUAGCAUGGUGUUCAUAGGCAUUCUGGAGUCAGGUUAGAUCCAAAUGUGAGCUCAGCAGCUGUGCCCAUGGGACCUCCUGGAGUCUCAUCUUACCCCAUCUGUGAAACGGGAGGCCGGGCGCGGUGGCUCACGCCUGUUAUCCCAGCAUUUUGGGAGACUGAGGCGGGUUGAUCACCUGAGGUCAGGAGUUCAAGACCAGCCUGGCCAACAUUGUGAAACCCCGUCUCUACAAAAAUACAAAAAUUGGCUGGGUAUGGUGGCGGGUGCCUGUAAUCCCAGCUACUCGGGAGACUGAGGAGGAAGAAUCGCCUGAACCCGGGAGGCGGAGGUUGCGGUGAGCCGGGAUGGCGCCAUUGAACUCCAGCAUGGGCGAGACUCCGUCUC
rnacentral:lncRNA from 10 species